rnacentral:rRNA from 1 species
GCUUGCUCUUGGUGGCGAGUGGCGGACGGGUGAGUAACGCGUAGGAAUCUACCCAAUAGCGGGGGAUAGCCCGGGGAAACUCGGAUUAAUACCGCAUACGCCCUACGGGGGAAAGGCCGGGAUCUUCGGACCGGUCAUUAUUGGAGGAGCCUGCGUAGGAUUAGCUAGUUGGUGAGGUAAGGGCUCACCAAGGCGACGAUCCUUAGCUGGUCUGAGAGGACGAUCAGCCACACUGGAACUGAGAUACGGCCCAGACUCC